ensembl:lncRNA
GUGGCUGGCUCCCUGCCAUUCUGAUUUUACUUUCAAUGUCAUCACUUUAGAGAAGAUUUCUCCAACCUUCCUGCUAAAGUGGUUGAGUUUUAGUUGGAGGUUGCAUCAUGCUGGAAGGUGGGCUUCAGGAAAACAGGCCCUUCUCUGUCCCAGUCAUUAUGUUGUACCCACAGCCUACAAAUGUACGAACAGUCCUGGGAGGAGCUCACUGUGUCUGAUGAAACGAGGAAGAAACCCUUGUUAUUAGCUGUUAUAGAUCAGCCCUGGGAUUUCUUUGGAAGGAAUGAUGCUGAAGCUGAGACUCCAGUACUUUGGCCACCUCAUGCGAAGAGUUGACUCAUUGGAAAAGACUCUGAUGCUGGAAGGGAUUGGGGGCAAGAGGAGAAGGGGACGACAGAGGAUGAGAUGGCUGGAUGGCAUCACUGACUCGAUGGACGACUGUGAUUUGUGCUAUGCAGACCUGCUGACAUUUUAUGGGAUCACAAAGAGUCAGACACAACUUAGCAACUGAGUAACAACAAAAGCUAUGGACAGUUGUCUGAGAAAUAAAAUGACCCCAUGGCAGUACCCAUCCACAGACAGACUUGGGCAAGAAUCAGUCCUUGCCCACCACUAACUAUGAAAAUUUGGGCAAUUACUGAUUUUGCUUUUGGCCAUGCCAUGCAGCACGCAUGAUCUUCCCCGACCAGGGAUCAAACCCAAGACCUCUGCAUUGGAAGCAUGGAGUUUUUAACCACUGGACCACUGGGGAAUUCCUCAAUCUUUCUGAGAUCCUUUUCACCAUAAGAUGGAGAAGAUAUAAGACCCACUUCAGUGAACAAUGGUGUAAAUUUUUUUUUUCUUUUUAUUAUUAUUAUUUUUUUUACUUUGCAAUAAUGGUGUAAAUUUAAAUGAAAAAAAAUCACAUAAAGCCUUUAGCGGUGAUACUUUAUACGUAGCAAAAGCUCAACAGAACUCAUUAUUAAUGCUAUUUUUGGACUAUGUCCCAUGGUUUCAGGGGUGUCAGAAACAAGUUCUUAAUCUCGCUAAAGUCAGAUCCAUGUAUAUGAGAAAAUUAAGUGUGCGCACAGAAAAGAAACACCUGCAGUGUUUGUCUAAUUGCUUUGGACUCCUCAGAGAACUGGAUGGAGCUAUGGAGGGUCAAACAUACCUAAUUAGAGAAUCAACAAAUUCUGAAUAGGUGCCAUAUUUAGAGGGACGGUUUGACUUCUCAAUACAAUAAACUGGCUGGAGGAAGAUGGGGAAGGGGGAGACGAGGAGCAUCACUUCAGCACAUUCCUGACUUUAACUUGAGAGAUUCUUCACGCAGAGAAAUUUCUCUCAUUCUUCUGGAUUCUGCAGUGAGAAAUAACACAAUCCAGCCUUACUGGUUUUGUACCAGGCUCUGUCCACUUAAUCCUUGCACAGCCCUAUGAGAGUGGGGAUAUUUUAUCACUCACAUUUUAGAUAAAGGACAACUGAAAGCACAGACUGUCCCUGUAACUUGCCCAAGGUCAUAUGGCUGGGGCACUGGUAGUCUGAUUUAAAUCUAGGUACAUUUACUUCAGCCCUUAUUUCCAAUGCUGUACUACAAGGCUGCAUAGUAGAAAGAGUGUGUGAGUCACACAUGCACAUAAAAUGCUUUCCUAGUCACAUUUUGAAAAAGGAAACAGGUACCAUGAAGUUUUAAAAUUUAUUUGAUUGAAGGAUAAUUGAUUUACAAUGUUGUGAUAAUUUCUGCUGUACAGAAAAGUGAUUCAGUUAUAUAUAUACAUGUGUGUGUGUGUAUUAGGCUUCCCUCGUGGCACUAGUGGUAAAAAACCCGCCUGCUAAUCAGUUGAGUGGAGUUCAGUCAUUCAGUCAUGCCCAACUCUUUGUGGUCCCAUGGACUGCAGCAUGCCAGGCCUCCCUGUCCUUCACCAUCUCCCAGAGCUUAUGCAAACUCGUAUCCAUCAAGGCAGUGAUGCCAUCCAACCAUCUCAUCCUCUGUCGUCCCCUCCUCCGCCUGCCUUCAGUCAUUCCCAGCAUAAGGGUCCUUGCCAAUGAGUCAGUUCUUCGCAUCAGGUGGCCAAAGUAUUGGAGAUUCAGCUUCAGCAUCGGUCCUUCCAAUGAAUAUUCAGGACUGAUUUCCUUUAGGAGGGACUGAUUGGAUCUCCUUGCAGGCCAAGGAGACUCUCAAGAGUCUUCUCCAACACCACACUUCAAAAGCAUCAAUUCUUUGGCACUCAGCUUUCCUUGUAGUCUAAUUCUCACAUCUGUACAUGAAUCCUGCAAAAACCAUAGCUUUGACUAGAUGGACCUUUGUUGGCAAAGUAAUAUCUCUGCUUUUUAAUAUGCUGUGUAGGUUGGUCAUAGCUUUUCUUCUAAGGAGCAAGCAUCUUUUAAUUUCAUGGCUGCAGUCACCAUCUGCAGUGAUUUUGGAGCCCAGAAAAAUAAAGUCAGCCACUGUUUCCAUUGUUUCCCCAUCUAUUUGCCAUGAAGUGAUGGGACCAGAUGCCAUGAUCAUCGUUUUCUGAGUGUUGAGUUUUAAGCCAGCUUUUCACUCUCCUCUUUCACUUUCAUCAAGAGACUCUUAGUUCUUCGCUUUCUGCCAUAAGGGUGGUGUGAUCUGCAUAUCUGAGAUUAUUGAUAUUUCUUCUGGCAAUCUUGAUUCCAGCUUGUGCUUCAUCUAGCCUGGCAUUUAGCAUGAUGUACUCUGUAUAUAAGUUAAAUAAGCAGGGUGAAAAUAUACAGUCUUGACAUGCUCCUUUCCCAGUUUGGAACCAGUCUGCUGUUCCGUGUCCGGUUUUAACUGUUGCUUCUUGAGCUGCAUACAGAUUUCUCAGGAGGCAGGUCAGGUGGUCUGGUAUUCCCAUCUCUUUCAGAAUUUUCCAGUUUGUUGUAAUCUACACAGUCAAAGGCUUUGGCAUAUUCAAUAAAGCAGAAGUAGAUGUUUUUCUGGAACUCUCUUGCUUUUUCAAUGAUCCAGCGGAUGUUGGCAAUUUGAUCUCUGGUUUCUCUGCCUUUUCUAAAACCAGCUUGAACAUCUGGAAGUUCACGGUUCAUUUGCUGUUGAAGCCUGGCUUAGAGAGUUUUGAGCACUACUUUACUAGCGUGUGAGAGUGCAACUGUAUGGUAGUUUGAGCAUUCUUUGGCAUUGCCUUUCUUUGGGAUUGGAAUGAAAACUGACCUUUUCCAUUCCUGUGGCCACUGCUGAGUUCUCCAAAUUUGCUGGCAUUUGAGUGCAGCACUUUCAUGGCAUCAUCUUUUAGGACUUGAAAUAGCUCAACUGGAAUUUCAUCACCUCCACUAGCUUUGUUCAUAAGAUGCUUCCUAAGGCCAACUUGACUUUGUAUUCCAGGAUGUCUGUCUCUAGGUGAGUGAUCACACCAUCAUGAUUAUCUGGGUCAUAAAGACUUUUUUGAUAUAAUUUUUCUGUGUAUUCUUGCCAGCUCUUCUUAAUAUCUCCUGCUUCUGUUAGGUCCAUACCAUUUGUGUUUUUAUUGUGCCCAUCUUUGCAUGAAGUAUUCCCUUGGUAUCUCUAAUUUUCUUGGAGAGAUCUCUAGUCUUUCCCAAUCUAUUGUUUUCCUCUAUUUCUUUGCAUUGAUCACUGAGGAAGGCAGUGAUCUCUCCUUGCUAUUCAUAUCUCUCCUUGCUAUUCUUUGGAACUCUGUAUUCAGAUGGCUAUAUCCUUCCUUUUUUCCUUUGCCUUUCACUUCUCUUCUUCUCUCAGCUAUUUGUAAGGCCUCCUCAGACAACCAUUUUCCCUUUUUGCAUUUCUUUUUCUUGAAGAUGGUCUUGACUGCUGUGUCAUGUACAAUGUCAUGAACCUCUGUCAGUUCUCCUUUAGGCACUCUAUCAUAUCUAAUCCUUUGAAUCUAUUUAUUAGGGAUUUGAUUUAGGUCAUAUCUGAAUGGUCUAAUGGUUUUCCCUACUUUCUUCAAUUUAAGUUUGAAUGUCACAAUAAGGAGUUAACGUCUGAGUUAUAGCCAUGUGCUGACUGUAUAGAGCUUCUCCAUCUUCAGCUGCAUAGAAUAUAAUCAAUCUGAUUUUGGUAUGACCAUCUGAUGAUGUCCGUGUAUAGAGUCAUUGCUUGUGUUGUUGGAAUAGCUUGCUUGCUAUGACCAGUGCGUUCUCUUGGCAAAACUCUAUUAGCCUUUGCCCUGCUUCAUUCCUUCCAAGGCCGAACUUGCCUGUUACUAUAGGUGUCUCUUGACUUCCUAUUUUUGGGUUCCUGUCCCCUAUGAUGAAAAGGACAUCUUUUUUGGGUGUUAGUUCUAGAAGGUCUUGUAGGUUGUCAUCAGUUCAGUUCAGUCGCUCAGUCAUGUCUGACCCUUUGCGACCCCAUGAAUCGCAGCAUGCCAGGCCUCUCUGUCCAUCACCAACUCCCGGAGUUCACUCAGACUCACGUCCAUCGAGUCCAUGAUGCCAUCCAGCCAUCUCAUCCUCUGUCAUCCCCUUCUCUUCCUGCCUCCAGUCCCUCCCAGCAUCAGGGUCUUUUCCAGUGAGUCAACUCUUCUCAUGAAGUGGCCAAAGUACUGGAGUUUCAGCUUCAGCAUCACUCCUUCCAAAGAAAUCCCAGGGCUGAUCUCCUUCAGAAUGGACUGGUUGGAUCUCCUUGCAUUCCAAGGGACUCUCAGGAGUCUUCUCCAAUAGCACAGUUCAAAAGCAUCAAUUCUUUGGCACUCAGCUUUCUUCACAGUCCAACUUUCACAUCCAUACAUGACCACAGGAAAAACCAUAGCCUUGACUACUUUGUUGGCUAAGUAAUGUCUCUGCUUUUGAAUAUGCUAUCUAGGUUGGUCAUAACUUUUCUUCCAAGGAGUAAGCGUCUUUUAAUUUCAUGGCUGCAGUCACCAUCUGCAGUGAUUUUGGAGCCCCGCAAAAUGAAGUCUGACACUGUUUCCACUGUUUCCCCAUCCAUUUGCCAUGAAGUGAUGGGACCAGAUGCCAUGAUCUUCAUUUUCUGAAUGUUGAGCUUUAAGCCAAUUUUUCACUUUCCACUUUCACUUUCAUCAAGAGGCUUUUUAGUUCCUCUUCACUUUCUGCCAUAAGGGUGAUGUCAUCUGCAUAUCUGAGGUUAUUGAUAUUUCUCCUGGCACUCUUGAUUCCAGCUUGUGCUUCUUCCAGCCCAGCGUUUCUCAUGAUGCACUCUGCAUAUAAGUUAAACAAGCAGGGUGACAAUAUACAGCCUUGACGUACUCCUUUUCCUAUGUGGAAUCAGUCUGUUGUUCCAUGUCCAGUUCUAACUGUUGCUUCCUGACCUGCAUAAAGAUUUCUCAGAGGCAAGUCAGGUGGUCUGGUAUUCCCAUCUCUUGAAGAAUUUUCCACAGUUUAUUGUGAUCCACACAGUCAAAGGCUUUGGCAUAGUCCAUAAAGCAGAAAUAGAUGUUUUUCUGGAACUCUCUUGCUUUUUCGAUGAUGCAGCGGAUGUUGGCAAUUUGAUCUCUGGUUCCUCUGCCUUUUCUAAAACCAGCUUGAACAUCUGGAAGUUCACAGUUCAUAUAUUGCUGAAGCCUGGCUUGGAGAAUUUUGAACAUUACUUUACUAGCGUGUGAGAUGAGUGCAAUUGUGUGGUAGUUUGAGCAUUCUUUGGCAUUGCCUUUCUUUGGGAUUGAAAUGAAAACUGACCUUUUCCAGUCCUGUGGCAUCAUAGAACCUUUCAAGUUCAAUUUUUUUGGCAUUAGUGGUUGGGGCAUAGACUUGGAUUACUGUGAUAUUGAAUGGUUUGCCUUGGAAAUGAACAGAGAAUAUUUUGUCAUUUUUGAGGUUGCAUCCAAGUACUACAUUUUGAACUCUUUUGUUGACUAUGAGGGCUACUCCAUUUCUUCCAAGGGAUUCUUGAAAUUAAUUUUAAUCAUAUGUUUAAGUUAACCAUUCAACAUGUAAUCACAGAAAAUAGUCUUUUUUCGUAUGUCAUGAGUUAGCACUUCUGCACAGCUCUAUUAGGACCUUUCAGUGGUCAGGAGCCAUGUGCCGUUGGUGGUAUCCACAGCAGGAAGCACAACCCUGUGUUCACUCAGCCAGUUACUGAACUCUGUAUUUGUAUCUCUAUGUUUACACAGUCUUUAUUCCUUUUGCUUUUACCUAUUCAAACUAGAAAGAUUCUGAGUACUGAAAGUGAAAAUAAGUUAUGAAAAAAAGGAAUAAAGAAAACAGUGGGUCAUUGCUUGGCAAUUUCUAACAACACCUAGGAAAGCUAUGGUUUUCGGUGACUUCUGUCAGAUUGCUCAAAUAUUUUGAGUUCAACUGCAUGCCCAUUUAAGAACAUAAGGUUCAUUUAUUAUGUUUCCCCCUUGGCCAAGCAGAAAUCUAAAAAUACACUCCUAAGUUGUUAGGUUUGACCAAACUCUUUAUAUAAAUAUCCGUUUGCAGUUGUUGUUUUAGCAAAAGAAAAAGCCAAUCUCCUGUCUUUGGGUUCUAAAAACUUUAGGAAACUGAUUUUCCCCCUAAGCACUUCCUUCCUCUAAACCACGUACAGACUGAAAAAAAGGAAGUGAAAAUCAGAUUUUAUUUUUUUUCCUACAAGAGGACAGAAAAGACAGCCCCUCCCCCACAUGACUGACAUUCUUUUGCCAUUUCCCCUCCCACCACCGAAUCCCAAAUGAUGAUUAGAGGAUGGAAACUUGGCCCCUUAACAUAAAGCUUCACGCUGUAAACUAAACCCUGGGGAAUGUUGGCCUUAGGAAUCAUAUCUCAUCUGAUGGGUUUGAAAGGGCCUACGGGGAAUCACCAUGUCACAUAGAUCCUUUUUUGCGUUUCAGGCAAUGUUUUCCCAACAUUAGACAAACAGCAGACAACAGUAGACAGUAAGUGCUUGUUCAAUUAAAUUUUUUUAAUUAAUUGGAGUAAAUUCAAGAAAAAUUUCUGUAGAUAAGUAUACAAGAAAAGCAGUUUACUAUUUCCAUAGACUCUAAUGGGAACACUUAGAAGAUAUAGUUUGAAUAGAAAGAAAUGACCUAUGGGACAAGAGUGAUAUAAAGACGUGGUAGAAAAACCUGGAACUUAAAAGGGCAACUAAUUCCCAGAAGUUCUUCCUUGACCCUGUCUUCAUGUGAAAUUUUAAUAUGAGUAAAAUAUAAAAACUAACUAUAAAAUAAAGGUAAAAUAAUAUGUAGAAGAAUAUUUAUAAAUUUUGGUCAAGGGGAAGAUUUUAAGGUAGUAGAUAUGAAACUUGGAAAACACAGUUAUAUUUAACUUGUCUCCCUAUAUACAUAUAAGUGCAUUAUAUAUGUAGUAUUUAGCAUAUAGCUUAUGCAAAAUAAUGAGUUGGGAAACUUUUAUGCAAUUAGAAUACUAUCAGAAGACAUAACAAGUUGCUGUUCCUAAUAUAGAAAUAGCCGUUAAAAGGAAAGGCAAACUAUAAAUUAAAAAAAAAAAGAAAAAUGACUACAAACAUUUUCUUCCUCACUAGUGAAUCAGAGGUGCAAAGUAUACAAAAAUCAGAUGAAAAUUUUAAUGCAUCACUUAAGCAAAACAAGCAAACAAAAAAGUAACAUCAUCCAACUACAGUGAAAUAGGUCAGCCAUCCAGCUGCUGGGGGUGUGAAUUGCUUGAAUAAAUAGAGUAGACUUCACAGUGAUUUCUGGUGAAUAAUACCUAAUAGCAUUAAUGUCAGCUGUCUGAGCUUAAAACAUUUUAGCAAAGUAUCUUUCAGAACUGUGUGCAGGGCAAAGUGAAGCCAUAUUGAUUAUUACAGUCAUAUGUCCUUCCGUGCAUGCUCAUUUGUGUCCAGCUCUUUGCAACCUCAUGGACUCUAGCUGCCCAGGCUCCUCUGCCCUUGGGAUUAUCCAGGCAGGAAUACUGGAGUGGGGUGCCAUUUCCAUUUCAAGGUAUAUGUCCUUAUAGAGAAAAACAAAUAUAUGAUAUCAUUUAUAUAUAGAAUCUAAAAAAAAAAAAAAACAAAUGAACUUGCUUCCAAAACAGAAAUAGACCUACAGAUGAAGAAAGCCUAAGGGAAAGGUUUACCAAAGGGGAAAGGGUUAGGAGGGAUAAAUUAUGAGUUUGGAAUUAAUAUAUACACACUACUAUGUAUAAAAUAGAUAAACAGCAAGGAUCUACUGUAUACCGCAGGGAACUGUACUUGGGAAAAGUAUCUGAAAAAGUAUAUAUAAAGAAUAUGCAUAUAUAUAUAUAUAUAUAAAACUAUCACUGUGUUGUACACUUGAAACUAACAUAUUGUAAAUCAACUAUAUGCCAAUAAAAUCUGAAAAAAAGAGCAAAAAAACUAUAUGUCCUUAUGCAUUUUUAUAAAUAUAAAUAGAUACUAACCAGCUGGAUAAAUCGCCUUAUGCUGUAACUUUCGGUUGCCUGUGUGACUCCUAUGCCGAUGGAGCAGGAGUGGGAGGCACAGGGCUGGCUUUGGGCCAGGGCUGCUCAGGG